rnacentral:rRNA from 1 species
GGGGUGCUAUACAUGCAAGUCGAGCGGACAGAAGGGAGCUUGCUCCCGGAUGUUAGCGGCGGACGGGUGAGUAACACGUGGGUAACCUGCCUGUAAGACUGGGAUAACUCCGGGAAACCGGAGCUAAUACCGGAUAGUUCCUUGAACCGCAUGGUUCAAGGAUGAAAGACGGUUUCGGCUGUCACUUACAGAUGGACCCGCGGCGCAUUAGCUAGUUGGUGAGGUAACGGCUCACCAAGGCGACGAUGCGUAGCCGACCUGAGAGGGUGAUCGGCCACACUGGGACUGAGACACGGCCCAGACUCCUACGGGAGGCAGCAGUAGGGAAUCUUCCGCAAUGGACGAAAGUCUGACGGAGCAACGCCGCGUGAGUGAUGAAGGUUUUCGGAUCGUAAAGCUCUGUUGUUAGGGAAGAACAAGUGCAAGAGUAACUGCUUGCACCUUGACGGUACCUAACCAGAAAGCCACGGCUAACUACGUGCCAGCAGCCGCGGUAAUACGUAGGUGGCAAGCGUUGUCCGGAAUUAUUGGGCGUAAAGGGCUCGCAGGCGGUUUCUUAAGUCUGAUGUGAAAGCCCCCGGCUCAACCGGGGAGGGUCAUUGGAAACUGGGAAACUUGAGUGCAGAAGAGGAGAGUGGAAUUCCACGUGUAGCGGUGAAAUGCGUAGAGAUGUGGAGGAACACCAGUGGCGAAGGCGACUCUCUGGUCUGUAACUGACGCUGAG